UGAGUGUUUUAUCAAACUUUUGCUCAGCUUAAUAUAAAUGCUAUAAGAAAAGUUUACACCAAAAAAACAAGCAAACCUCUUUCUGAUACGGUUUAAAUGUAAUAAUCAAAGAGACCUUCAUGCAACAAUAAGGUUCAAAUGUAAUAAUCAAACAGACCUACAUGCAACAAUAAGGUUUAAAUGUAAUAUUCAAAAAGACCUACAUGCAACAAUAAGGUUUAAAUUUUAUAUUCAAACAGACCUACAUGCAAUGAUAAGGUUUAAAUGUUGUAUUCAAACAGACCUACAUACAAUGAUAAGUUUUAAAUGUAAUAAUCAAACAGACCUACAUGCAACAAUAAGGUUUAAAUGUAAUAAUCAAACAGACCUACAUGCAACAAUAAGGUUUAAAUGUAAUAAUCAAACAGACCUACAUGCAACAAUAAGGUUUAAAUGUAAUAAUCAAACAGACCUACAUGCAAUGAUAAGGUUUAAAUGUAAUAUUCAAACAGACCUACAUACAAUGAUAAGGUUUAAAUGUAAUCAUCAAACAGACGUGCAUGCAACAAUAAGGUUUAAAUGUAAUAAUCAAACAGAUCUACAUGCAAUGAUAAGGUUUAAAUGUAAUAUUCAAACAGACCUACAAACAAUGAUAAGUUUUAAAUGUAAUAAUCAAACAGAACUACAUGCAACAAUAAGGUUUAAAUUU